GACGAACGCUGGCGGCGUGCUUAACACAUGCAAGUGGAGCGACGAACCAGGGCUUGCCCUGGGGCAGAGCCGCGAACGGGUGAGUAACACGCGGGUAACCUACCCCGAUGACCGGGACAACCCGAGGAAACUCGGGCUAAUACCGGAUGUUCUCGUUUUUCGUAAGGGAAACGAGCAAAGAUAGCUUCGGCCUUCGCAUCGGGAGGGGCCCGCGGCCCAUUAGCUUGUUGGUGAGGUAACGGCUCACCAAGGCGACGAUCCGUAGCUGGUCUGAGAGGACGAUCAGCCACACUGGGACUGAGACACGGCCCAGACUCCUACGGGAGGCAGCAGUGGGGAAUCUUGCGCAAUGGGCGAAAGCCUGACGCAGCGACGCCGCGUGAGGGAAGAAGGCCUUCGGGUUGUAAACCUCUUUCAGGAGGGACGAAGCUACUCGGGUUAAUAGCCCAGAGGGUGACGGUACCUCCAGAAGAAGCCCCGGCUAACUACGUGCCAGCCGCCGCCGUAACAC
rnacentral:rRNA from 1 species